CUAUAAUAUGUUUAUGAUUUGAUUGGUCUUUUUACACUGAUCAUCUCUUUAAUCAUUUUGGGAAAUUAAGAUGCAAUCUUAAAAUAUGAAAGAUUUUACUAAAUAUUAUAAUCUCUAGUUCCAAGUUGGAAAAAUGUUAACAAAGAAAGAAUGUACUAAAAUCAAAAAUUAUGACCUCUAAGACUUCAGAGUCAAACAAAGUGUGUAUCUAUCAAUCUGAUCAGUGUUUAUCUGUUUGGGGCAUUUGCAAAGAAAAUGAUUUAUGUAUUGAACAUGAAAGAUAGAAGCAGAACUAUUCUAUUCAGGGAGCUGUUAGAUCUCUGUUUUAUUUUCAUUAAGUUGACAUGCAAAUGCAACCACCUAUUCUCAGGAUCUUAAUUUUAAGUCUUUAAGAAUUAUUAAAUAUCCAAUUGGUUAUGAUUUUCAGUGCCCAGAAAAUAAUCCUAAUAACACUUAAUAGGAUCUAGGAUAGUGAUCUUCCCAAUCCUAAUAACACUCACUUUUAAAACAUAGCAAAUGAUUUCCUCAAAUAAGAAUGAAACAGAUAUCUAUAGGUACAUCAUAUACAUAAAUGGUACUAUUUAUGUUUAAUUUUUAAUUACUUAUCAAUUUAAAAUAUUUUUUCUGAAGCCCAAAUAUUUAAAAUAGUUUUAUUUUACUAUAUGGACAAAUAAAUAGACAUAACUUUUGAAAGAUCUCUCCCGUCACUUAAGAGAAUCUAAAUAAACUAUCAUCAAUGUAUGAAGUUUAAGUGGAUAAAUAUAAUAAAAUGAGGAUCUACAGGAAACAUUGGUAUCAACACAGUAGGAUCUAGAUACAUAUUUGUUAAAUGAAGAGAUAAUGGCAUUGAAAGUCAUGGGGAAAUAUUUGUUUGUUUCAGUGAAGUGACAGUUCUAGCCUAGUGGUACUAAUUUAUGGAGAUGAUGUCUUAUAUACUAUUUCAGUAAUUAUUCAUACUUAGCACAUAUGACUAGGGUCUUCAGGGCUUUAUAGAACCAACAUAAACCUAUCAUGACACUAAACUUUUGGAGAAAUUUAUCGCUGAACUUUCAUCUGCCUACAGCAUUUCUCCCCUAUAGUGUUAGAGAAAGGAAGAGCUAGAUAGAAGCAGAAAUAGUGGGUAAGAAAAGCCAGAUGUUAAAGAUUCUUCAAGGAAAGCAUUCUGCAAAGGAAUAUCCAGUGUUUUUAUUCCAUUUUAUCCAAAGAUCAUCAAAGGGAUUACAUAGUUCUGAUGGUAUCCACUUUGGUAUAUUUGUGACUUAUUUUAAUCAUCUUUUUGCAUGUUGGUAUUAGCAUUCAACCCCACAAUUUUAUACACCACAUAGAAAAUAGAGAUAAAUUUCAAUUCAGUAAGAAGGAAGUAUGCCCAACAAUCAAGACUGCCUUAUGGAGAGAAUGAACUCUCCCUAGCACUGGAAGGAUUUGAGCAAAGGAAGUUGCUUGCAUUGAACAGAGGAUGGUUUCUUCCCCAGGUUCAUUUCUUUAGUCACAGUGAAUAGGCACUUGGUAUCAGGCAGUCCCACAGCCAGCACAGAAAGAUGAAAAGGGUGCUAUCAUUGUCUUAAAAGGAACUCACAAUUAAGCAGAGAGAUAAAGGAAAGCUUCCUUUCAAUUCCAGCCUGAGUCUGUUUAUACACAUACUACUCUCAACAGAGUUUAUGUGGAUCACUAUUGAUUUAAUGAAAAAUAAAAUAAAAUAAGACACGUUAGCAAAGUUUCCUAGUUGUUUAGUAACUUGACAUGUUUCUCAGAUGAAAACUUUGUCUACGCAUUUGGUUCCCUUUAUAUUACCUUUUUUU
rnacentral:lncRNA from 1 species